rnacentral:rRNA from 1 species
AGAAGCAGCCAUCCUUUAAAGAUAGCGUAACAGCUCACUCAUCAAGAGAUAUUGCGCCGCAAAUAAUCGGGGCUAAGUAUGGUACCGAAGGUUAGGAUGUCACAUUUUUAAUGUGGCGUGGUAGGAGAGCAUUCUGUUCUGCAAUGAAGCCAAAGGCGUAAGCCAUGGUGGAGCGUACAGAAGCGAGAAUGUUGGCACAAGUAACCGCAAUGCAGGUGAGAUCCCUGCACGCCGAAAGACUAAGGUUUCCUUCGCAAUGGUGAUCAGCGAAGGGUUAGUCGGGCCUAAGGAGAUGGUGAAAACCGGAUCUGAUGGACAUACGGUUAAUAUUCCGUAACUUCUUUAUAUUUCGAUGGAGUGACGGAGGACACAAGUAAGAGCACAUUAUUGGAUUUGUGUAUUUUAUUUUAAGAAUUGUUUCUUAGGAAAAUCCGGGAAACUGACUUUAAUGUCGAAUUUCGUAAAUAGAUUAAAUUUCUUCCCUCGGGUUGGAAAAUUCUUACGAAGAGCCUUCCAAGAAAAGCUUCUAAGGUUAAGUAUAAAGAACCCGUACCGUAAACCGACACAGGUAGUCAGGUCGAGAAGACCAAGGCGAACGAGUGAUAAUUCCCCAAGGAACUCGGCAAAAUAGCAGCCGUAACUUCGGAAUAAGGCUUGCCCUUCUGUAAAAGGAGGGGCCGCAGCGAAAGUAACCCUGCCGACUGUUUAUCAAAAACACAGCUCCCUGCGAACUCGCAAGAGGAUGUAUAGGGGGUGACGCCUGACCAAUGCCAGAAGGUUAAAUAUUGGUGGUACGUUCCUCACUGCGUUUGGAACGCAAGUAAGCAGUAGUAAGGUGUAAGUAGUAAGAAACGAAAAAUUUGCUUUGCAAAUUUUUACUUAUUACUUAAUCCUUAUUACUUAAUACUUGCUCCGAGCGAAGCGAGGAGCGUGCUGUCUGAUAUAAGCCCUGGUGAAUGUCGGCCGUAACUAUAACGGUCCUAAGGUCGUAUCUCUUAAUUUUUAGGGGGUACGAUGACUGGGACUGUUAUGUUUACACGAUAAACAAGAUAGAUAGUUUGUGCAUUAAUAAUUUAAGGAAUUAAAGUUGCCUAUUUAUCAUUUAAUUAUGAUGAAUGUCAAAAAAAUCUAGCUAUAUGCUGGAAAAUCCGAGAAUCUGAAGGUACUCGCUACAUUUUUUGUAGCAGUAAAAAUCCGAUCAGUGCGGACAAUCAGCAGGAAAGAUUAAAAAUUGAAUCUCAGUUUUUAAAAUCCUCAGAGACUAAACGCUAGACUAAGUAAAUACUUAGAAAGUAUAGUCCGAACUACAUAGCGAUAUGUAGAGACAGAAAAAGCUGUCCACUUUGAUUUUUCAAAGGAGUAACAAAUUUGAGCGAAAUUCCUUGUCUAGUAAUUGUAGACGUGCACGAAUGGCGUAACGAGUGGGGUACUGUCUCGGGGAACAGCUCGGUGAAAAUACAAUACCGGUGAAGAUGCCGGUUACCUGCAGCUAGACGAAAAGACCCCAGGAGCUUUACUAUAGCUUGGUAUUGGGUGUAUGUUUUUGAUGCGUAGCAUAGGUGGGAGACUUUGAAGGGCAGUUUUUGGAUUGUCUGGAGUCAACAGUGAAAUACCACUCUUUAAAAAUGUACAUUCUAAUCUCGACGGAAAAAACGGCGGGAGACAGUAUCUGGCAGGUAGUUUUAGUGGGGCGCUAUCCUCCUAAAAAGUAACGGAGGAGCCUAUUAAGGUCAGCUAAGCGCGAAUGGAAACCGUGCUGAUAGUGUAAUGGCACAAGCUGGCUUGAUUGUGAGGCGUGCAUGCCGAACAAGUGCGAAAGCAGAGCAUAGUGAACCGACACCUCGCAUUAGACGCGGGUGAAGAUUAACGGAUAAAAGCUACCCUGGGGAUAACAGGCUGGUAUCGCCUAAGAGUUCAUAUCGACGGCGAUGUUCGGCACCUCGAUGUCGGCUCAACUUAUCCUGGGGCUGGAGAAGGUCCCAAGGGUUUGGCUGUUCGCCAAUUAAAAAGUUACGCGAGCUGGGUUCAGACCGUCGAGAAGCGAAGCUUCUCGACAAAUAACAAGUAAAAAGUCUUGUUUCGCGAUUCGACAGUCUGAAUCAAAACAAAACAUAGAGUUUUUUCGUCUAUGAAAAAGAAAAGAAACCAACCACACGGCGGUCCGUGAAAAGUAAUUUUCACGAGAAAAAGUCAACUUAUAUCGGUAGAAUCCUAUCAUUUUUUUGAGGACAAUACCGAGGGAAAACUGAGUUAAAAGUUGAAAGUUCAUAAAGUUUAUAAAGUAUUAAAAAUCGCACGACGAUUUUCAAAAAACUUUUAACUUUAGAAACUUUAAAAACUUUAUAAACUCUUUUGCCCGUAGAGACUAAAUGUUGACCUCUGAUUUUUUAAAAAAUCAGACGAAGUUAUAGUCCGAUCCCGUUAGUAAUAACGGUGUUGAAAACUAUUAGUCACAAGCUAAGAGUUAUCAGCUACAUAUUGCGUGAGACAGGUUGGUCUCCUAUCUGCUGCAGGCGUUGAUUCUUGAGAAGAUUUGCUCCUAGUACGAGAGGACCGGAGUGAACUAACCUCUGGUGUACCAGCUGUUCCGCCAGGAGCACCGCUGGGUAGCUAUGUUGGGAAUGGAUAACCUCUGAAAGCAUCUAAGAGGGAAGCCAACUUCAAGAUUAGGAAUCGUUUAAGAUCCCUGAGAGAUGAUCAGGUGAUAGGCUCUAGGUGUAAGCACAGUAAUGUGUUCAGCCGAGGAGUACUAAUGCAUCGAGACAUUUCU